GAGAGUUUGAUCCUGGCUCAGAACGAACGCUGGCGGCGUGCUUAACACAUGCAAGUCGAACGAGAAGCUAUCCUUCGGGGUAGUGGGGAGUGGCGAACGGGUGAGUAACGCGUGGGCAAUCUACCCUUGGGUGGGGGAUAACCUUUCGAAAGAAGGGCUAAUACCGCAUAUGCAAUAGCGUCAUAAGGCGUUAUUGGAAAUCUUUUGUCUUUGGCAAUUGAGCCCGAGGAGGAGCUUACGCUCUAUCAGCUUGUUGGUAGGGUAAUGGCCUACCAAGGCUACGACGGAUAGCUGGUCUGAGAGGAUGAUCAGCCACACUGGCACUGAGACACGGGCCAGACUCCUACGGGAGGCAGCAGUGAGGAAUAUUGCGCAAUGGGCGAAAGCCUGACGCAGCAACGCCGCGUGGAGGAUGAAGGCUUUCGGGUUGUAAACUCCUUUCAGGGGGGACGAAGUAGUUGGGUAACCAAUUGGACGGUACCUCCAGAAGAAGCCACGGCUAACUCUGUGCCAGCAGCCGCGGUAAGACAGAGGUGGCGAGCGUUGUUCGGAUUUACUGGGCGUAAAGGGUGCGUAGGCGGUUGAAUAAGAUGUGCGAGAAAGCUCACGGCUUAACUGUGAAAGUUUGCACAUGACUAUUUGACUAGAGAAUGGGAGAGGAAAGCGGAAUUCCCGGUGGAGCGGUGAAAUGCGUAGAUAUCGGGAGGAAGGCCUGUGGCGAAGGCGGCUUUCUGGAACAUUUCUGACGCUGAAGUACGAGAGCGUGGGGAGCAAACAGGAUUAGAUACCCUGGUAGUCCACGCCGUAAACGGUGGGCACUAGAUGUGGGAUCCA
rnacentral:rRNA from 1 species